AUUACACCUUUCAGCGAUGGAUGUCUGGGCUCGAACGUCGAUGAAGGGCGCAGCGAAGUGCGAUGAGCGUUGUGAAUUGCAGAAUUCAGUGAAUCAAUAGGGUCUUGAACGCAUACUGCGCUCUCGGGAUAUUCCUGAGAGCAAGUCUGCUUCAGAGUCUGAUCCAUAUU
rnacentral:rRNA from 2 species